AUUGAACGCUGGCGGCGUGCCUAAUACAUGCAAGUCGAACGCAGUGGGGACGGGUGCGUAACACGUGGGUAACCUCCCAUCAGAGGGGAUAACACUUGGAAACAGGUGCUAAACCGAUACUGAUGGAUGAACCCGCGGUGGAUUAGCUAGUUGGUGGGGUAACGGCGCACCAAGGCCACGAUGCAUAGCGGGCCUGAGAGGGUGAGCAGCCACACUGGGACUGAGACACGGCCCAGACUCCUACGGGAGGCAGCAGUGGGGAAUCUUGCACAAGGGACGAAAGUCUGACCGAGCAACGCCGCGUGAGUGAAGAAGGUUUUCGGAUCGUAAAGCUCUUUUGUUAGAGAAGCGGUAUCUAACCAAAAAGCCACGGCUAACUACGUGCCAGCAGCCGCGGUAAUUC
rnacentral:rRNA from 1 species